rnacentral:rRNA from 1 species
GUUUGGCGGCGAGUGGCGAACGGGUGAGUAAUGUAUCGGAACGUACCCAGUAGCGGGGGAUAACUACGCGAAAGCGUGGCUAAUACCGCAUACGCCCUACGGGGGAAAGGGGGGGAUCGCAAGACCUCUCACUAUUGGAGCGGCCGAUAUCGGAUUAGCUAGUUGGUGGGGUAAAGGCCUACCAAGGCGACGAUCCGUAGCUGGUUUGAGAGGACGACCAGCCACACUGGGACUGAGACACGGCCCAGACUCCUACGGGAGGCAGCAGUGGGGAAUUUUGGACAAUGGGGGCAACCCUGAUCCAGCCAUCCCGCGUGUGCGAUGAAGGCCUUCGGGUUGUAAAGCACUUUUGGCAGGGAAGAAAAGGUUCUGGUUAAUACCUGGAGCCGCUGACGGUACCUGCAGAAUAAGCACCGGCUAACUACGUGCCAGCAGCCGCGGUAAUACGUAGGGUGCAAGCGUUAAUCGGAAUUACUGGGCGUAAAGCGUGCGCAGGCGGUUCGGAAAGAAAGAUGUGAAAUCCCAGGGCUUAACCUUGGAAUGGCAUUUUUAACUACCGGGCUAGAGUAUGUCAGAGGGGGGUAGAAUUCCACGUGUAGCAGUGAAAUGCGUAGAGAUGUGGAGGAAUACCGAUGGCGAAGGCAGCCCCCUGGGAUAAUACUGACGCUCAU